AAAAAGGUACAUAAGGGCACUGAUAGUGGAUGCCUUGACAAUCAAUACCGAUGAAGGACGUAGAACUCUGCGAUAAGUCUCGGGGAGCUGAGAGCAAGCUUUGAUCCGGGAAUUUCCGAAUGGGGAAACCUAAUACGAGUCAUGUCGUAUUGCCUUUACCUGAACACAUAGGGUAAUGAGACGGGAACCAGCCGAACUGAAUCAUCUUAGUAGGUUGAGGAAAAGAGAAUAACCAAUGAUUCCGAAAGUAGUGGCGAGCGAAAUUGGAACAGCCCAAACCUUAACAUAACCAUACGGUUUAACGACCAGAGUUAUGAAAGGGGUUGCGAAAUUAGAUAAUUUUUAUGCUAAGGAGCCUUUCGGCUUUUUAGCAUAAAAACCAUCAGCGUUAACUGAAUGGAUAAUGAUACAAACCUUUAGAUCGUAGUUGAAGCGUUUGAAUGGCGCACCAAAGAAGGUGAAAGUCCUGUAAGCGAAACGGUCUUAGGCAUUAUAUAUCUUUUUUCAAGUAGGACGGGGCACGAGAAACCCUGUUUGAAUCCGGCAGGACCACCUGCCAAGGCUAAAUAUAUUGAUUGAUCGAUAGCGAACUAGUAC
rnacentral:rRNA from 1 species